AUUGAACGCUGGCGGCAGGCCUAACGCAUGCAAGUCGAGCGGAUGACGGGAGCUUGCUCCUUGAUUCAGCGGCGGACGGGUGAGUAAUGCCUAGGAAUCUGCCUGGUAGUGGGGGACAACGUUUCGAAAGGAACGCUAAUACCGCAUACGUCCUACGGGAGAAAGCAGGGGACCUUCGGGCCUUGCGCUAUCAGAUGAGCCUAGGUCGGAUUAGCUAGUUGGUGAGGUAAUGGCUCACCAAGGCGACGAUCCGUAACUGGUCGGAGAGGAUGAUCAGUCACACUGGAACUGAGACACGGUCCAGACUCCUACGGGAGGCAGCAGUGGGGAAUAUUGGACAAUGGGCGAAAGCCUGAUCCAGCCACGCCGCGUGUGUGAAGAAGGUCUUCGGAUUGUAAAGCACUUUAAGUUGGGAGGAAGGGCAGUAAGUUAAUACCUUGCUGUUUUGACGUUACCGACAGAAUAAGCACCGGCUAACUCUGUGCCAGCCGCCGCGGUAACAC
rnacentral:rRNA from 1 species